rnacentral:misc_RNA from 1 species
UGUGUGUGUGUGCGAGUGUGCGUGCGUGGGUCAGCCGCAUUAAUUUCUUUUGGACUUGGAUCGGAUUUUGAUUGGUAUCUCGACCGGACAGCUAUGCGACUGACUGCAUGGAGCAUUCUCCUGGCCGUCCUGCUGCUCCAGGGCGGCCCAGCCUCCGCCUGGCAUUCGGAGGAGCUGGAGAUCUUCGACUUGGUGGAGGAGGUGAAUCGCAACUUCUACGAGUUCAUGGGAAUUAAUCAAACGGCUACGGGAGCGGAGGUCAAGCGCGCCUUCCGCACCCUCUCAAUUGUACUGCAUCCGGACAAGAACUCUGCCGAGGAUGCCAACAUCCAGUUCCGCAAUCUGGUCUCCAUCUACGAGGUCCUCAAGGAUCCGUCCAAGCGCGAGAAAUACGACCGGGUGCUCAAGGAGGGCAUGCCCAACUGGAAGUCCGCCCUGUACUACUACCGUCGGAUGAGGAAGAUCGGCCUGUACGAGGGCGCCUUCAUCCUAUUCCUUAUCACCACCGUGGGCCAGUACCUGUUCGCCUGGGCCGCCUAUCUGGAGAAGAAGUACACCGCCGAGCAGGUGUUCGGCACCAAGCUGAAGAAGCUACAGAAGAAGAACAAGAACAUUGACAUGGACGUCAUACUCAGUGAGAUUCCAAUGCCCUCGCUGCUGAAUACUCUGCCAGUCCAGAUUCCUUUGGCUUUGUGGAACCUGCCCCGGACCAUCAAGAACGGCUUCAGCAAGGCCAACGAGCUCAAGGAUCUGGCCCUCGAAAAGCGUAGACAGGAACUGGAAGCUGCCCGCCGCCAGGAGGAGCUGGAACGCGAGGCCGAGGAGCAGGUUCGUCUGCGCAAAGAGCACAAGGAGAACCUUCGUAAGCGUAAACAGAACUCCAAGGCCCCAGAAAAGACCGAGGAGGAACUGCGUGGCUACUCACAGAUCCAGGCCCGCGAACUAACCGAUGAAGAUGCAGUGCGCCCUGCAUCUCAGAAGAGUACUGUGAGCGGCGGUUUCUGGACCGAUGAGGACCUGACCGAGCUAAUCCGUUUGGUGAAGAAGUAUCCUGGUGGUGCCGGUAGCCGUUGGAACACCAUUGCCGAGUCCAUGAACCGCAGCGUCCAGGAGGUAACCUUUAUGGCUGCCAAAAUGAAGGAGAACGGCUAUCGCAUACCCGGACAGUCGGACAGCGUGGCCGAGAAUCUUGUCCAGGAAUCGCAGCAGGCACAGCGCAAGGAAAAGGUCAAGAAGUCGACGGCAGCAGCUACCACUGUCCUGGCUGCCGGUGGGGAGAAGAGCAUGCUCAUUCCGGAGACGAAUUGGACGCAGGAGCAGCAACGUGCGUUGGAAGCAGCAAUCGUCAAGUACCGAAAGACAGCUGGCGGGGAUCGCUGGCAAAAAAUAGCUAAUAGUGUGCCGGAGAAAACCAAGGAAGAGUGCCUGGUGCGCUACAAGUAUCUCUGCGAACUGGUCAAGACUCAGAAGCGGGCCGAGGAAGAGGCCCAAGAGCCGGAGGAGGCACAGGAGUCGCCAGACGCGGCGGAAGUCGGCGGAGAGGCCGAGCUGGAGACCGAGGAGAAGGUGGCUCCCAUAGAAGCUUCAGCUCCAGCGCCAGCGUCCAAGAAGCUGAGCAAGCGCGAGCAGCGACGACGGAAACGAGAUCUGUCCAGUGGCGAGGACUCUGACGAUGCAUAUCAGUACGAGAUCAGUUAGUCAAAUCGACAGGAUACCCGAUGAUCUCGGUCUUCUCCUCGCGUGGCUCAAACUUAGAAAUAGUGUUAUGGUAGUUAU